UUGCACGCUGGCGGCAGGCCUAACACCUGCCAGUCGAGCGGAUGAAGGGAGCUUGCUCCUGGAUUCAGCGGCGGACGGGUGAGUAAUGCCUAGGAAUCUGCCUGGUAGUGGGGGAUAACGUCCGGAAACGGGCGCUAAUACCGCAUACGUCCUGAGGGAGAAAGUGGGGGAUCUUCGGACCUCACGCUAUCAGAUGAGCCUAGGUCGGAUUAGCUAGUUGGUGGGGUAAAGGCCUACCAAGGCGACGAUCCGUAACUGGUCUGGGAGGAUGAUCAGUCACACUGGAACUGAGACACGGUCCAGACUCCUACGGGAGGCAGCAGUGGGGAAUAUUGGACAAUGGGCGAAAGCCUGAUCCAGCCAUGCCGCGUGUGUGAAGAAGGUCUUCGGAUUGUAAAGCACUUUAAGUUGGGAGGAAGGGCAGUAAGUUAAUACCUUGCUGUUUUGACGUUACCAACAGAAUAAGCACCGGCUAACUUCGUG
rnacentral:rRNA from 1 species